UACGUAGGGGGCUAGCGUUGUCCGGAAUCAUUGGGCGUAAAGAGCGUGUAGGCGGCCCGGUAAGUCCGCUGUGAAAGUCCGGGGCUCAACUCCGGAUCUGCGGUGGGUACGGGCAGACUAGAGUGAUGUAGGGGAGACUGGAAUUCCUGGUGUAGCGGUGAAAUGCGUAGAGAUCCGGAGGAACACCAGUGGCGAAGGCGGGACUCUGGGCCGAUACUGACGCUGAGGAGCGAAAGCGUGGGGAGCGAACAGG
rnacentral:rRNA from 1 species